AUCUGGCAAAGAAGUCUUCUGUCUGAAAAAGACUUAGUUAAUUUUCAAUCAACUUUUUCUUAGGAGCUAAGAAGUGAAAGCUUGAACUUGACUAUCAAGGAACACACCAGUUGUUAAUGGGGCCCCCAGGAGGAAGUCAACAAGCUCCACCACAUCUAACAAUACCUACUGAUGGCAGCCUUUCCCCCAGUCAAGCAGCUCUACACCUAGCUCUCCUGCUUUCCACCUGGGGGUGCAGGGGGAUGAGUGGACACCAAGAGGAAAUUAUUUCACUUCCUUCCCAGAGGGUCAGGAUAAACAGAAGAACCUCAGGCUACUCUAAGCAGAAGGAAUGUAUGAUAAUGUGACCAAGCACUGACUGCAGGUUAUCAAGUGGCUCCAGCCAGAACAAUAGAAGACGCCAUGGAGUGAUGCUUUUGGGGAACUCAAAAAUGAAGCGUUGCGGAACUCAUCCUCCAAAACGAAAGAGGAUGUUCAAGAUGAGGGCUGUUUGCUUCUCAUCUAUGUAAGCAUCAAUCUAUGAGGUUCCAAGACCUGCCUGACCUUCUUUGGUCUGCAGUCCACCCUAUCCAAAGCCAAGACUUAGCAUUGGGGUAUCGGAACACUAGAGUUGAAGUCAGAAGAUACGGCUUUAAAUCUUGGCUCAGUUCUUUAGAAGUUGUGUUCUUAGGCAAAUUAUCUCUCAGCCUCAGCUAGGUUGUCAUGAUCAAAGGAUAUUUUUAAAUAUUGAGCAUUUAUAUUAGUUCCAUUCCUUCUCAGGAGCUUUAUUACAGCACAGACAUUUUACUAUUUCACUGGGAGCUUUUUCUAGAUUUAUAUUGUACUUUUUUCCUUUUCUCUCCUUUCUCCUCUUUUCUCCCCCAUUCACAACAAGACAAGUUGAUUUCCCUUUUGUUUCACCCCAAGUCAUCUGGCUUGAGGGCGUUUCUUCCCCUCAGGGUGAAAAUAUCCAGUGAGUAAAUCUAGGUCCUUAACAGCAGGUAAGUCAGAUUCAGUUAAUGUAAUCUGGUUUCUGCCUCUGAGUUAAUGCCUCAGGAAGAAUUUGAAUAAGCUCUGCUGUCUCCCUUUUUUUUUCUGAGUCUCGAGCUGGAUCUUAGAAAAAUUCUGGUCAAGCUAAACAAAUGAUUCACUGAAGAACAGGAAAAAAAAUGAGCUGUUUGUUUUCUCUUUCUAGUUAAUGAAUUGAAUUGAUACAGGAACUUCAUCGUGUUCUCAGGGAAAUCCUGUUGGCUGGGGCUCCCUCCUCAGCAUCACUAAAUUUAGGUCACAGCUCAGUGAAGAACAAUUACAGAUCCUUAAUAAAAGAUAAUUUACCCAGCGACA
rnacentral:lncRNA from 1 species